GAUCCCCGAAGAUAAGCAACGUCGAGCCUGGUCAGUACUUAGAUGGGUGACUGCUCGAGAAUACCAGGUGCUGUCAG